GACGAACGCUGGCGGCGUGCUUAACACAUGCAAGUCGAACGAGACGAUUGAAAGCUUGCUUUCGAAAGUCGAGUGGCAAACGGGUGAGUAACGCGUAGACAACCUGCCUUUGAGAUGGGGACAACAGUUCGAAAGGACUGCUAAUACCGAAUGUUGUAUAUUUUCCACAUGGAAGAUAUAUUAAAGAUGGCCUCUAUUUAUAAGCUAUCGCUCAAAGAUGUGUCUGCGUCUGAUUAGCUGGUUGGUGGGGUAACGGCCUACCAAGGCGACGAUCAGUAGCCGGUCUGAGAGGAUGAACGGCCACAUUGGGACUGAGACACGGCCCAGACUCCUACGGGAGGCAGCAGUGGGGAAUCUUCCACAGUGGACGAAAGUCUGAUGGAGCAACGCCGCGUGAGUGAAGAAGGGUUUCGGCUCGUAAAGCUCUGUUGUCGGGGACGAAUGUGCAGUAUUUGAAUAAAGUACUGCAAUGACGGUACCUGACGAGGAAGCCACGGCUAACUACGUGCCAGCAGCCGCCGUAA
rnacentral:rRNA from 1 species